UUCUUUCCUUCUACUAACUUUAGGUCUUGUCUGUUCUCUCUCGAGCUGCUUUAGAUAUAAAGUUAGCUUGUUUAUUUUGAGCUUUUUAUUUUUUCCUGAGGUGGGCUUGUAUUGCUAUAAACUUUCCUCUUAGAAUGGCUUUUGCUGCAUCCCAUAGGUUUUGGAGUGUCAUAUAUUCGUUGUCAUUUGCUUCUAGGUAUUUUUAAUUUCCUCUUUGAUUUCUUCAGUGAUCCAUUGGUUGGAUCUAGAGGUGAUGUUUUUGGUAAACAGGCGGGGUUUGUGUUUGCCGAGUUCCUUUUACUUCUUUUAAUCUUUCCUUAGUGCACUCCUGUGUUGGGUUAACAAUAUAAUUAAUAAACGUUUUAGUGUUAUUUUGGUUUAUUGGUUGUUAAUUAUCAGUAUAUUAUUAGUUACUGAUGUAAGCGUGUGCAAGGAGAAAGGCUUCUUGUUACUCAUAUUAACAUUAUUGCUUCUAUGUUUCAAUAGAUUAGUCCGAUAUUGGGCUAGGAGUUUGCUAUUAGUUUUUGGGGUAUUUUUAAGGUUGAACUAAAAUUCUUUCUCGGACAACCAGCUAUCACCAGGCUCGUUAGGCUUUUCA
rnacentral:lncRNA from 1 species